AUUGAACGCUGGCGGCAGGCCUAACACAUGCAAGUCGAGCGGAUGAAGGGAGCUUGCUCCUGGAUUCAGCGGCGGACGGUGAGUAAUGCCUAGGAAUCUGCCUGGUAGUGGGGGAUAACGUCCGGAAACGGGCGCUAAUACCGCAUACGUCCUGAGGGAGAAAGUGGGGGAUCUUCGGACCUCACGCUAUCAGAUGAGCCUAGGUCGGAUUAGCUAGUUGGUGGGGUAAAGGCCUACCAAGGCGACGAUCCGUAACUGGUCUGAGAGGAUGAUCAGUCACACUGGAACUGAGACACGGUCCAGACUCCUACGGGAGGCAGCAGUGGGGAAUAUUGGACAAUGGGCGAAAGCCUGAUCCAGCCAUGCCGCGUGUGUGAAGAAGGUCUUCGGAUUGUAAAGCACUUUAAGUUGGGAGGAAGGGCAGUAAGUUAAUACCUUGCUGUUUUGACGUUACCAACAGAAUAAGCACCGGCUAACUUCGUG
rnacentral:rRNA from 1 species